rnacentral:rRNA from 1 species
UGAGGAACAUGACCUUCGGCGGGGGAUAGCCGGCCCAACGGCCGGGUAAUACCGCUUACGACCACAUGGGGACAUCCCCGAGUGGUGAAAGCAGCAAUGCGCCGAUGGAGUGCCUCGCGGCCUAUCAGCUAGUUGGUGAGGUAACGGCUCACCAAGGCGACGACGGGUAGCUGGUCUGAGAGGAUGGCCAGCCACAUUGGGACUGAGACAUGGCCCAGACCUNUACCGGGAGG